GCGGAAGUAGCUCAGUGGUAGAGCAUCACCUUGCCAAGGUGGGGGUCGCGAGUUCGAGUCUCGUUUUCCGCUCCA
rnacentral:tRNA from 5 species